rnacentral:rRNA from 1 species
GACAGAGGCCUCAAGCGUUAGGCGGAAUCACUGGGCUUAAAGCGUGUGUAGGCGGAUCGUUAAGUGCCUUGUGAAAUCCCACGGCUUAACUGUGGAACGGCUGGGCAUACUGGCGGUCUUGAGCCAUCUAGGGGCGACUGGAACAAACGGUGGAGCGGUGAAAUGCGUAGAUAUCGUUUGGAACGCCAAUGGUGAAAACAGGUAGCUGGGAGUGUGCUGACGCUGAGACACGAAAGCCAGGGGAGCAAACGGG